GAUGAACGCUGGCGGCGUGCUUAACACAUGCCAGUCGAACGGUGAAGGCGGAGCUUGCUCUGCUGGAUCAGUGGCGAACGGGUGAGUAACACGUGAGCAAUCUGCCCCUGACUCUGGGAUAAGCGCUGGAAACGGCGUCUAAUACUGGAUACGAGCUGCGAAGGCAUCUUCAGCAGCUGGGAAGAAUUUCGGUCAGGGAUGAGCUCGCGGCCUAUCAGCUUGUUGGUGAGGUAAUGGCUCACCAAGGCGUCGACGGGUAGCCGGCCUGAGAGGGUGACCGGCCACACUGGGACUGAGACACGGCCCAGACUCCUACGGGAGGCAGCAGUGGGGAAUAUUGCACAAUGGGCGAAAGCCUGAUGCAGCAACGCCGCGUGAGGGACGACGGCCUUCGGGUUGUAAACCUCUUUUAGCAGGGAAGAAGCGAAAGUGACGGUACCUGCAGAAAAAGCGCCGGCUAACUACGUG
rnacentral:rRNA from 1 species